rnacentral:lncRNA from 1 species
GGAGGAGUAGCAAACGCUUACACCCUACAAACCUACCAUCUGAGAGUCUCCUGAAUGAUAUUUUGUAAUAACACUGAUAUGUCAAUAUUAUUGGAAAGCACUCUGGGAAGAGAUUAAAAGGAAACCUGCUAAGCUAUGUGAAGGGAUUCCAGGAUGUCUAUAAAGUGAUCUUCUAUUGAUCCUCAAAGGAUUUCAGGAGGGAAUUAAUGACUGAGAGAAAAUACUCUUUUUUUCCCCUCAUCCUAGCAUGUUUUAAAUUGUUUUCAACAGGAAAUCAAUUUAAAGUCAGUGUUUUUUUUUUUUUUUAAUCUCUCACAGAAAACUCAGAGACCAUUUCCAAUGGAAUUUAUGUUAGCUGAUUGUUUGGAAUGGAAAACACAAGAAUUGUGUCAUAGUGACCCAAAAUGUCAUUCUGCGUUUGCUCGUCUCGGGGCACAAGGAGAAACUGUCCUUGGAGCAAGAUCAAGCUUGAGGUUCUGACUCAGAAACCUGAGAAUCACAUCGUUUUCCUGGGGCCAUUGCCUUUUCCUGUCCUUGCAAGGAAAUUCCACAGUCAUGCAGCCACAGAAGAAUGCCGGACCGGGCCCUUAUCUAGUGUGCCUCUAUGGUUUUUUUUUGUAUUGAAGUCCUCUAAAAAGGUUGGCCCUUGAUAACAGGUAUUGUCUUUCAUCUGGAUGGAGAAGAAACAGGAAAAUGAUACAAGGUUUGAGAGCGGGCUCGGGAACCAGAGGAUGUGGGUUCGAGUCCGGCGCUGACCCUCGUGAGCUGUAUGACUUUGGGCCACUUACCAAACCUUCGGUGCUUUGCAGCAUGAGGAUAAGAGCAGAUCCUCCUCCCUGGGCUACUGGACAGACACACGGACUGUGAACACACCGCACUGCCCAAUCAGGGCCCGACACGUGCCUGUUUUUUUGUUAUUGUCACUGUGCUCACUGUUACACUCUAUUCUCUUUUUUUUUGUCUUUUUCCUUUUUAUCGGUACCGGGCAUUGAACUCACGACCGCCUGCUUGCAAGGCAGGUGCUUAUGCCGUUGAGCUAAAUCCCCAGCCCCUUACACUCUAUUCUUUAAGAGAUUUUUGAAUGUGUUUCAUUGUAAGGUUUCCAAAUUCUGGAUUGCUUGCUGUUAUAUCUGAUUUAAUUUGUCCAGGAGUUGUUUCAUUAAAACCAAAAUGCA